rnacentral:rRNA from 1 species
CCCAGACAGCCAGGAUGUUGGCUUAGAAGCAGCCAUCAUUUAAAGAAAGCGUAAUAGCUCACUGGUCGAGUCGGCCUGCGCGGAAGAUGUAACGGGGCUAAACCAUGCACCGAAGCUGCGGCAGCGACACUGUGUGUUGUUGGGUAGGGGAGCGUUCUGUAAGCCUGUGAAGGUGGCCUGUGAGGGUUGCUGGAGGUAUCAGAAGUGCGAAUGCUGACAUAAGUAACGAUAAAGCGGGUGAAAAGCCCGCUCGCCGGAAGACCAAGGGUUCCUGUCCAACGUUAAUCGGGGCAGGGUGAGUCGACCCCUAAGGCGAGGCCGAAAGGCGUAGUCGAUGGGAAACAGGUUAAUAUUCCUGUACUUGGUGUUACUGCGAAGGGGGGACGGAGAAGGCUAUGUUGGCCGGGCGACGGUUGUCCCGGUUUAAGCGUGUAGGCUGGUUUUCCAGGCAAAUCCGGAAAAUCAAGGCUGAGGCGUGAUGACGAGGCACUACGGUGCUGAAGCAACAAAUGCCCUGCUUCCAGGAAAAGCCUCUAAGCAUCAGGUAACAUCAAAUCGUACCCCAAACCGACACAGGUGGUCAGGUAGAGAAUAC